rfam:Trichobilharzia regenti genome assembly, scaffold: TRE_scaffold0018387
AUGCAGAUGACAAGUCCCAAAUAGGACGAAGUGCACACCCUGCAU